ACCAACAAACACUAGUACUUUCCUCCUCUGAAGUACAAAUUAUUUAUUUAUAUCUCUCAUAUUGACUUUCUCCUAUAUCUUUUUAUUUUAAUUAUCAUUGUCUGUACUCAUUUCCCAUUAGAGUACAGAGCAGAGAUUAUAUCUUGUUCAUAAAUGCAUCUACUUAGCCCAAGUUUUGCAUAUAGAAGGUGUUCAAGAAAUAUUUAUCAAAUGAGUUGGUGAAGUAAAAUUGAAUAAAAAAUAUAGGACAUCUUUUACAGGAAAAUAUUUACAAAUAUUCACAAAACAGAUGUUAACAGGUCACACACAAAAUAUAUGAAACAAACAAAAAAAUAAUAUUCAUUAGGACAGACUCCCAUGAGAGAUGCUGUUUACUGGUUUGCACACUCUAAUGACCUGCAUCUUGACUCUUGUGGACAGAUAGGGUACAUCCAUUUUAGAUAGCCAAUUUGUUAACUUAGGACCUUACACACAUCACAAAAAGAUUCAACAAAAAUGACUGAGAAGAAUGUGAGUUACCCUCUGGGACCACUCCAGGAACUCCCAGGAAUAACUUUGAGAGACUUAAAAGGUGGAAUUGAGACCCUGCUCUCACAUAGCUGGAGGCUACACUAUUUUCAAAGUAGUAUUAAUGGACCCUUGCUUAUUUCCACUAGUUGGUAAGGAGAAGCUUAUACACGUAUAGUAAAUUCUACUGAAUAAAGAAUGGUUAUGUUUUCAAUCUCUAGUGCUUCCUUAUAGUAAAGCUUAAGAAAAGUCUCACCUAAAGUAAUAGCCACAUCCAACACAAUUCCCUUUUCCAGAUGUCUCAUGUAAUUCUUGUUCUAUGCCACUUGGGCCUUUCAAGGUAUGUCACCUCUUUCUUUUCAGACCUUUAUGUCUAAAUUAUAAAAUAGACUUAGUCAAAGUAUUAGUGCUCAUUAACAGGUUUCUUCACAAGUCUUUCCACCUCUCCAAAAUCUGACACAUGCUAUGUGUUACUGCAGCUCUCCGUAUCUCUGAGAAGAAGGCCCAUGAGUUGUAUUCCACAAUGUAGGAUAAGGAGGAUACAGCACAAAAGAAACCCUAAUCUCCCUUUGGCUGGGUGAUUCACUUCCUGGUAGAGGUGUAAUGGAGCAAUCUUCCCAUGAGAGACCCCCAUGCCCCAUGUCCUCCACCUGCCUCUUGUAUGUAGAAAAACUUUACCCAAAGAAUAAGUUUAAUCAGAGAAGUGAGAAAAUGCAGAAACAGAGGAAAAUAGUCAAACAAGACCAAAUAAUAAUAGUUUAGUCAUUAAGAAAUGUCAAGGACCUUUAGUUCCUCCUCAAGGGCUAGAGCUAAUAUUUUGAGCCAUGUCCUUUGAGCUGUUUGGUAGAUACUGAAGUCCCCGCCAGGUGGAGGAGGUUAACUACAUGAUGACCAGACUGUAGCCUUGACAUAAGCUGUCACAAUUCCAAGAACUGGCCUCAAAGAAAUUGUAACAAACCAAUCAUGGAACUGAAGAUUAACUGUACUUAAAACAAUCAAGAUGACAGUGGUCAGACCACUGCAUGACUAAUUUCAAGAUGAUUGUCAGAACUGACUGUACUGUUUCUGCAAGUAUCCCCCUCCCUCCACCUAUACACCCCUGAAACUCCCCUUUAAAAGUUCUUGCCCCUUGAUUGGCAAUGGGGAGUUGGUUCUUUGGGACUUGAGUCCACCUUCACCCCAGGAUUACUAGUUUUCUCAGUAAACCUUUUUACCCAACACUUGUAUCUCAGCAUUGGAUUCUUGAGCAAUGAGCCUCUGAACCUGAGUUUGGUAACAGAAGUGGCACCUGAAAACAGGUGUGUCACUAUGCAAGACCAGAACUCCACAGACACUGUAUAAGACUAUUAGAGCAUGGUGAUUCAUUGUAGAUUUAACAUAGCAAGUUCAUGUAAUGAACUAUUGAAAAAUUAGCUUGGUUUUACUUUUCAUUGUUAUGUGCCCUUCAAGAAGGAAUAACAGUUAUUCUCCUUUACUUUCUCAAGAGGGCAGACAGAUCUUAUUUGUAAAAUAUAGAUUCUCCUUCUUCACAUGAAGAUUUCAGGGAAAAAGAGACUUUUGUGUUUCAUGACUGUGAUGAAAUUGCAAAUGGGGAUUGAAACACCGAAACACCGGCAAAUCUUUAUGACCUUUGGAGCAGACGAAUGCAGGACUGAAGCAUAUCCUGGGCUAAAACUAAACAUCUCAGAGUGCAAACAGCACACUUUCACAUAUAUCGUUAUUUGCUACUCUUUCCACUAAUGUUUCAUUUCUGAAGAAGAGGAAAUGUCGGCUACAGAAGUUGCUAAGAGACAAAAACGUGAGUAUGCAGGCACCACUUGGAAGAGUUAAAGGGAAGGUGCUCUUGGGUAUAAUACUUCAUUCACUCCCUCAUUCAUUCUUCAUAUAUUUUUGAGCCCCUGCUAUGCACUAGGGGUUCAGAGGCGGACAGAAACGGAUGUUUGUUCCCUGUGAACUACAGGAGUUGAGCAUUUGCAUAAACUUAAAAUUAUAAUUACUAUAGUUUUAAGGAAGAAAAACCACAUGAA